rnacentral:rRNA from 1 species
GAUGAACGCUGCCGGAAUGCUUAACACAUGCAAGUCCACUGUUGCGGACGGGUGAGUAACGCGUACAGACCUUGCCUCCCAGCUAGGGACAACCUUUGGAAACGAAUGCUAAUACCUGAUACUGUGAGAGAGCUUUGCGUCCCAUUAGCUAGUUGGAGAGGUAACGGCUCACCAAGGCGAUGAUGGGUAGCCGGCCUGCGAGGGUGAUCGGCCACAAGGGGACUGAGACACGGCCCUUACUCCUACUGGAGGCAGCAGUGGGGAAUGUUGGAAAAUGGACCAAAGUCUGAUCAAGCAAUUCUGUGUGCACGAUGAAGUUUUCGGAAUGUAAAGUGCUUUCAGUUGGGAAGCGGUACCAACAGAAGAAGUGACGGCUAAAUACGUGCCAGCAGCCGCGGUAAUAC